UACGUAGGUGGCAAGCGUUGUCCGGAAUUACUGGGUGUAAAGGGAGCGUAGGCGGGAGUGCAAGUUGAAUGUAUAAACUAUCGGCUCAACUGAUAGAAGCGUUCAAAACUGCACUUCUUGAGUGAAGUAGAGGCAGGCGGAAUUCCUAGUGUAGCGGUGAAAUGCGUAGAUAUUAGGAGGAACGCCAGUGGCGAAGGCGGCCUGCUGGGCUUUAACUGACGCUGAGGCUCGAAAGCGUGGGUAGCAAACAGG
rnacentral:rRNA from 1 species